GCCUGGAUGGAAAGAUUUAAAAAAAAUCUCCUCGAGGGAUGUCAUUGAAGUGUAGGCAACAUACAAACAGAAAGCUACAACAGCAGCUACAAUUUCCUCCGGAGAGACACGAAAGUACCAAGGGACUGAGCCUCUCUGUCCAUUCUUCAUUAAUGAAUGUGCGUACUAUGAGAAGGGCAUAGCUCUCUCCCUGGCAAGACAGAGAAGUGUGGGGAUACCGUCCAUCUGGUUGGAGAGUGAAAUAGAACAGGAAAAGUGCGCCAGAAGAAAGAGGAGGAAGAGGAGAUGAAGGACGAAGGCUAUCAGUAGCUAAUGGAAUAUGGAGAGGAGAGUGACUAACUAAAAUGGACAAUACAAAUCAGAGCUAAUUUCAAGUUCUUGAUAUAAACAGUAGAUUGAAAACACACCUCAGGAAUAAGGUUGUCAUGUCAAGCGAGACACAUUGUUCAAAUGUUAUGAACUUCAGAAAUGUAUAAUAAAAUCCUUUAUUUAAAAUGA